rnacentral:rRNA from 1 species
AUUGAACGCUGGCGGAAUGCUUUACACAUGCAAGUCGAACGGCAGCACGGGGGCAACCCUGGUGGCGAGUGGCGAACGGGUGAGUAAUACAUCGGAACGUGCCCGGUCGUGGGGGAUAACGUAGCGAAAGUUACGCUAAUACCGCAUACGAUCUGAGGAUGAAAGCGGGGGACCUUCGGGCCUCGCGCGAUCGGAGCGGCCGAUGUCAGAUUAGGUAGUUGGUGGGGUAAAGGCCUACCAAGCCGACGAUCUGUAGCUGGUCUGAGAGGACGACCAGCCACACUGGGACUGAGACACGGCCCAGACUCCUACGGGAGGCAGCAGUGGGGAUUUUUGGACAAUGGGCGCAAGCCUGAUCCAGCCAUUCCGCGUGCAGGACGAAGGCCUUCGGGUUGUAAACUGCUUUUGUAUGGAACGAAAAGGCUCUGGCUAAUACCUGGGGCUCAUGACGGUACCGUAAGAAUAAGCACCGGCUAACUACGUG